CUGGCGGCGUGCUUAAUACAUGCAAGUCAACUUGACUUUAGAUAGCAAUAUCGAAAAGUAGGGUGGCGCACGGGUGCGUAACGCGUAGGUAAUCUGCCCUGAGGUCUGACAUAACCCGUCGAAAGGCGGGCUAACAUCAGAUGAUAUAUAAUCACGACAUCGUGGAAAUAUCAAAUCUUCGGAGCCUUGGGAUGAGCCUGCGUCUGAUUAGGUAGUUGGCGGAGUAAUAGCCCACCAAGCCUACGAUCAGUAGCUGGUCUGAGAGGAUGAUCAGCCACACUGGAACUGAGACACGGUCCAGACUCCUACGGGAGGCAGCAGUAAGGAAUAUUGCUCAAUGGGGGAAACCCUGAAGCAGCAACGCCGCGUGAAGGAUGAAAUACUUUUGUAUGUAAACUUCUGUAAGAUGGGAAAAAUAUUCUCCUCGGGAGAAUUGAUUGUACCAUCAGAGUAAGCCCCGGCUAACUACGUG
rnacentral:rRNA from 1 species